AGAGUUUGAUCCUGGCUCAGAUUGAACGCUGGCGGCAUGCCUUACACAUGCAAGUCGAACGGCAGCGCGGGGGCAACCCUGGUGGCGAGUGGCGAACGGGUGAGUAAUAUAUCGGAACGUACCCAGUAGUGGGGGAUAACUAUCCGAAAGGAUAGCUAAUACCGCAUACGAUCUGUGGAUGAAAGCAGGGGAUCUUCGGACCUUGUGCUAUUGGAAUGGCCGAUAUCUGAUUAGCUAGUUGGUAGGGUAAAAGCCUACCAAGGCGACGAUCAGUAGCUGGUCUGAGAGGACGACCAGCCACACUGGAACUGAGACACGGUCCAGACUCCUACGGGAGGCAGCAGUGGGGAAUUUUGGACAAUGGGGGCAACCCUGAUCCAGCAAUGCCGCGUGAGUGAAGAAGGCCUUCGGG
rnacentral:rRNA from 1 species